AUUGAACGCUGGCGGCAGGCCUAACACAUGCAAGUCGAACGAGUGGCGGACGGGUGAGUAAUGUCUGGGAAACUGCCUGAUGGAGGGGGAUAACUACUGGAAACGGUAGCUAAUACCGCAUACCAUCGGAUGUGCCCAGAUGGGAUUAGCUAGUAGGUGGGGUAAAGGCACACCUAGGCGACGAUCCCUAGCUGGUCUGAGAGGAUGACCAGCAACACAGGAACUGAUACACGGUCCAGACUCCUACGGGAGGCAUCAGUGGGGAAUAUUGCACAAUGGGGGCAAGCGUGAUACAGCCAUGCCGCGUGUAGGAAGAAGGCCUUCGGGUUGUAAAGUACUUUCAGCGGGGAGGCUUUACCCGCAGAAGAAGCACCGGCUAACUCCGUGCCAGCGGCCGCGGUAAUAC
rnacentral:rRNA from 1 species